UUAUUUCUUGUUUUUGAUUCAGACAUCAAGACUGACCUAAGCAUAAAGUUGGCGCCCGAAAGCGCCAAAGCACGUUUUGCUUCCACUGGUUUGCAAGGUUGAAGGCUCAGAGAGCCAUUCAUUAAUGAUCCCUCCGCAGGUUCACCUACGGAGA
rnacentral:misc_RNA from 1 species